GAAACGACUGCUAAGACUGGAUAGGAAAAGUAAAGGCAUCUUCACUUUUUUAAAAGACCUUCUUUGAAGGUAUACUUAAGGAGGGGCUUGCGACACAUUAGUUAGUUGGCAGGGUAAAGGCCUACCAAGACUAUGAUGUGUAGCUGGACUGAGAGGUUGAACAGCCACAUUGGGACUGAGACACGGCCCAAACUCCUACGGGAGGCAGCAGUAGGGAAUUUUCGGCAAUGGAGGAAACUCUGACCGAGCAACGCCGCGUGAACGAUGAAGUAUUUCGGUAUGUAAAGUUCUUUUAUUAAGGAAGAAAAAAGAGUGGAAAAACUCCCUUGACGGUACUUAAUGAAUAAGCCCCGGCUAAUUAUGUGCCAGCAGCCGCGGUAAUACAUAAGGGGCGAGCGUUAUCCGGAAUUAUUGGGCGUAAAGGGUGCGUAGGCGGUUUAAUAAGUCUAUAGUUUAAUUUCAGUGCUUAACGCUGUUAUGCUAUAGAAACUGUUUUACUAGAGUGAGAUAGAGGCAAGCGGAAUUCCAUGUGUAGCGGUAAAAUGCGUAAAUAUAUGGAGGAACACCAGAGGCGUAGGCGGCUUGCUGGGUCUUUACUGACGCUGAGGCACGAAAGCGUGGGGAGCAAACAGGAUUAGAUACCCUGGUAGUCCACGCCGUAAACGAUGAGUACUAAGUGUCGGGUAAAACCGGUACUGAAGUUAACACAUUAAGUACUCCGCCUGAGUAGUACGUACGCAAGUAUGAAACUUAAAGGAAUUGACGGGACUCCGCACAAGCGGUGGAUCAUGUUGUUUAAUUCGAAGAUACACGAAAAACCUUACCAGGUCUUGACAUUUUCUUGCGAAGUUAUAGAAAUAUAAUGGAGGUUAUCAGGAAAACAGGUGGUGCAUGGUUGUCGUCAGCUCGUGUCGUGAGAUGUUAGGUUAAGUCCUAAAACGAGCGCAACCCUUGUCGUUAAUUGCCAGCAUGUAAUGAUGGGGACUUUAACGAGACUGCCAAUGAAAAAUUGGAGGAAGGUGGGGAUUACGUCAAAUCAUCAUGCCCCUUAUGAUCUGGGCUACAAACGUGAUACAAUGGUUGAUACAAAGAGUAGCUGAAACGCGAGUUCUUAGCCAAUCUCACAAAAUCAAUCUCAGUUCGGAUUGAAGUCUGCAACUCGACUUCAUGAAGUUGGAAUCGCUAGUAAUCGCGAAUCAGCAUGUCGCGGUGAAUACGUUCUCGGGGUUUGUACACACCGCCCGUCA
rnacentral:rRNA from 1 species